CGCAUCUGUGCAUGCAGUAUAUCAAUAAGCGGAGGAAAAGAAACUAACAAGGAUUCCCCUAGUAACGGCGAGUGAAGCGGGAAGAGCUCAAAUUUGAAAUCUUAAAGGGUUUCCCUUUACGAAUUGUAGUUUAAAGAAGUGUUUUCUGUUGAGGUUUUGGUAAAAGUUCUUUGGAAUAGGACAUCAUAGAGGGUGAGAAUCCCGUAUUUGACCUUUACUUUCAACUUUGUGAUACACUUUCAAAGAGUCGGAUUGUUUGGGAAUGCAGUCCGAAAUGGGUGGUAAAUUUCAUCUAAAGCUAAAUAUUGGCGAGAGACCGAUAGCGAACAAGUACCGUGAGGGAAAGAUGAAAAGAACUUUGAAAAGAGAGUUAAACAGUACGUGAAAUUGUCAAAAGGGAAGCGUUUGACACCAGUGUUGUUUUUCUGAAAAUCAAUUAAUGAACUGUUUAUGCUAAGCUGUUUAGACUUUAUCAGCUAUACUGUUUAGUUUUGAGCUUUUCUUUAAUGCACUUUUCAGUUAACAAGUCAACAUCAAUUUCUUUUGCUGUAAAAAAGCUUGAGGAAGGUGGCUUGAGAUUCGUCUCAAGUGUUUAUAGCCUCUUGCCUAUGCAGUCGGAGAGAUUGAGGUCUGCAGCGUAGAUCCUUCGGGGCUAAAUGCAUUUGUGCUAAGUUAUAGCAUUUUAUAGACAACUUGUUGACUAUGAUUUGUCUUGUAGCUUACUCGCUUAUGUUAUUUUACCUACGCUUAGGAUGUUGACAGCAGUAUAGACUGU
rnacentral:rRNA from 1 species